rnacentral:rRNA from 1 species
GGUCCCGCCUGCCCUGUGACUAUUUGUUUAACGGCCGCGGUAUUUUGACCGUGCGAAGGUAGCGCAAUCACUUGUCUUUUAAAUGGAGACCCGUAUGAAUGGCAUAACGAGGGCUUAACUGUCUCCUCUUUCAAGUCAAUGAAAUUGAUCUCCCCGUGCAGAAGCGGGGAUAUAAACAUAAGACGAGAAGACCCUAUGGAGCUUUAGACACUAAGACAGCCCACGUUAAGCACCCUGAACAAAGGACUAAACCAAGUGGGCCCUGCCCUAAUGUCUUUGGUUGGGGCGACCGCGGGGAAUUAAAGAACCCCCACGUGGAAUGGGAACACUCUUCCUACAACUAAGAGCUACAGCUCUAGAAAACAGAAUUUCUGACCAACAAGAUCCGGCAAUGCCGAUCAACGGACCGAGUUACCCUAGGGAUAACAGCGCAAUCCUCUUUUAGAGCCCAUAUCGACAAGGGGGUUUACGACCUCGAUGUUGGAUCAGGACAUCCUAAUGGUGCAGCCGCUAUUAAGGGUUCGUUUGUUCAACGAUUAAAGUCCUACGUGAUC